rnacentral:sRNA from 1 species
ACUCAACAAAGUUUAUUUAUAAAGGGGUGAGUUAUGAUUGUUAAAGCAAGCCAUCUUUGAAUGGAUCCUUGAUCAGUUGUGUAGCCUUAAUCGUGUUUUUUAGGAGUUU